UACGUAGGUGGCAAGCGUUGUCCGGAUUUACUGGGGCGUAAAGAGCGCGCAGGCGGUCGUUCAAGUCGCGUGUGAAAGCCCCCGGCUCAACUGGGGAGGGUCACGCGAUACUGAUCGACUCGAAGGCAGGAGAGGGGUAGUGGAAUUCCCGGUGUAGUGGUGAAAUGCGUAGAUAUCGGGGAGGAACACCAGUGGCGAAGGCGACUACCUGGCCUGUUCUUGACGCUGAGGCGCGAAAGCUAGGGGAGCAAACGGG
rnacentral:rRNA from 1 species